UUCCAGACUCCUACGGGAGGCAGCAGUGGGGGAUAUUGCACAAUGGGGGAAACCCUGAUGCAGCGACGCCGCGUGUGGGAAGACGGUCCUCUGGAUUGUAAACCACUGUCCCCAGGGACGAAGAUGACGGUACCUGGGGAGGAAGCUCCGGCUAACUACGUGCCAGCAGCCGCGGUAAUACGUAGGGAGCGAGCGUUGUCCGGAUUCAUUGGGUUUAAAGGGUGCGUAGGUUGUUUUAUAAGUUAGCGGUGAAAUACCGAUGCUCAACAUCGGGGCUGCCGCUAAUACUGUAGGACUAGAGAUCGGAUGCAGCAGGCGGAAUGUGUAGUGUAGCGGUGAAAUGCAUAGAUAUUACACAGAACACCGAUUGCGAAGGCAGCUUGCUAGGCCGGAUCUGACACUGAUGCACGAAAGCGUGGGGAUCGAACAGGAUUAGAUACCCGCGUAG
rnacentral:rRNA from 1 species